CCUACGGGUGGCAGCAGUGAGGAAUAUUGGUCAAUGGGCGAGAGCCUGAACCAGCCAAGUCGCGUGAAGGAUGAAGGAUCUAUGGUUUGUAAACUUCUUUUAUAUGGGAAUAAAGUGAGGAACGAGUUCCUUUUUGUAUGUACCAUAUGAAUAAGCAUCGGCUAACUCCGUGACAGCAGCCGCGGUAAUACGGAGGAGGCGAGCGUUGUCCGGAUUUAUUGGGUGUAAAGGGUGCGUAGGUGGUUAAUUAAGUCAGCGGUGAAAGUUUGUGGCUCAACCAUAAAAUUGCCGUUGAAACUGGUUGACUUGAGUAUAUUUGAGGGAGGCGGAAUGCGUGGUGUAGCGGUGAAAUGCAUAGAUAUCACGCAGAACUCCGAUUGCGAAGGCAGCUUACUAAACUAUAACUGACACUGAGGCACGAAAGCGUGGGGAGCAAACAGGAUUAGAUACCCUAGUAGUC
rnacentral:rRNA from 1 species